CACGAGCGCACCCACAUCCUUAGUUGCCAGCAGUUCGGCUGGGCACUCUAGGGAAACUGCCCGUGAUAAGCGGGAGGAAGGUGUGGAUGACGUCAAGUCCUCAUGGCCCUUACGGGUUGGGCUACACACGUGCUACAAUGGCAUCAACAAUGGGUUAAUCCCUAAAAGAUGUCUCAGUUCGGAUUGGGGUCUGCAACUCGACCCCAUGAAGUCGGAAUCGCUAGUAAUCGCGUAACAGCAUGACGCGGUGAAUACGUUCCCGGGCCUU
rnacentral:rRNA from 1 species